CAAUGGUUCGCAUGUCAAAUCCACUAAGGACAACCAUUUGACCUUGGCACAGUACAUGUUGUCAGAAACAUAACUGUCCAAAUAAAUGAUUAUUUAUUUAGACAAUGAUGUUCCUGAGAACAUGUACUGUGCCAAGGUCAAUUGGCUGUCAUUAGUGGGCUUGACAUGUGAGCCAAUG